GCUUAAUAGGUCCCACAAAGAACCCAAAAAUGGGUUCACGGUUGGAGAUGCUCUAAGUAACUGAAAACCUCUCUUCUAGUUUUUUCAAUAUAAAAUAUACUCUCUUUCAUAUAACAACCCACUCACAUUUCAAGAAAAUAAACUCUUUCUCUUCCCAUCCUCACUUUUUCUGCAUUUUGAAAAAACCCAUCUCCACUCAAAGAACACACUAAAAACUCAACUUCCAUAUCACAACAACUUUAUCUCUUCACCUCCCAUAUAAACCUCUCCCUCCUAUCCAUUAAAACCUUACGACCUUCUUCCUCCAUUUUUAACUCAACUGAGCUCCACCAUAAUCGUUACUCAUUCCGCCGGCGAACGACAUACAACCUCCUCUCCGCCAUUAAUCCUCAAAACUCCUUCAACCUAACAACAACAACUCCAAAAAUUGAAAUCAUGAAAGAAAACGUAAACAUAUAAGACAGAAAUUUGUGAAACAAGACUGCAUCUUAUGACCACCUUCGAACUGCACAACCAAUCAGACUGCCAAACCACCGCGCAUAAGCUUUCUG
rnacentral:lncRNA from 1 species